rnacentral:rRNA from 1 species
GUGAGGAAUAUUGCGCAAUGGGCGAAAGCCUGACGCAGCGACGCCGCGUGGAGGAUGAAGGUCUUCGGAUUGUAAACUCCUUUCGAGUGGGACGAAUUCCGGAGGUGUUAACAGCGCCUUCGGUUGACGGUACCGCUAUAAGAAGCCCCGGCUAACUCCGUGCCAGCAGCCGCGGUAAUACGGAGGGGGCCAGCGUUGUUCGGAAUCAUUGGGCGUAAAGGGCGCGUAGGCGGCCAAUCAAGUCGGACGUGAAAACCCUCGGCUCAACCGGGGAACUGCGUCCGAUACUGUUCGGCUUGAGUCCUGGAGAGGGUAGUGGAAUUCCCAGUGUAGCGGUGAAAUGCGUAGAUACUGGGAGGAACACCGGUGGCGAAGGCGGCUACCUGGACAGGUACUGACGCUGAGGCGCGAAAGCUAGGGGAGCAAACAGGAUUAGAUACCCGAGUAGUCC